UACGUAGGGUGCAAGCGUUAAUCGGAAUUACUGGGCGUAAAGCGUGCGCAGGCGGCUAUGCAAGACAGAUGUGAAAGCCCCGGGCUCAACCUGGGAACCGCGCUUGAGACUGGCACGCUCGAGUUCGGGAGAGGAUGGUGGAAUUCCCAGUGUAGAGGUGAAAUUCGUAGAUAUUGGGAAGAACACCGAUGGCGAAGGCAGCCAUCUGGACCGACACUGACGCUGAGGCGCGAAAGCGUGGGGAGCAAACAGG
rnacentral:rRNA from 1 species